rnacentral:lncRNA from 1 species
GGACUCUCUCUCUCUCUCUCUCUCUCUCUCUCUCUCUCUAUAUAUAUAUAUAUAUAUAUAUAUAUAUAUAUAUAUAUAGAGGCUAGAAUAUUAUCGGUAGCACGGAGACCUCCGUACUACCAAGUUGUUUUCAAUUAUGCAGCUUCCAAAUCGACGAUCGGCUUCGUUAGACUUGAUCUAUACUAUUAAAAAUAUUUGAAAACUAAAUUUCAUAAUUUUUCGACAUCAUUUACAUGUCAAAGGAAUAGUCUAAAAAUAAACGGUUGAAAAUAAAAAUCUCAUAAAAAAUGAUAAUAAAAUACUUAAAUUUAAGAUUAGAGAUACUUUUCUAUAAAAAUUUUAUCAGAUUUGGAUCGGUUUACACCAUUAAAUUCACAAACGCAUCACAUCAACCAUUAAAAUUGUCAAUUUUGAGACAUUUUGAUCACUAGCCAAAUAAUGUCGAAAAAUUAUAAAAUUUAGUUUCCAAAUACUUUUAAUAGUAUAGAUCAAAUCUAACGGAGUCGAUCAUCGAUUUAGAAGCCAUAUCAUUGAAAAUAACUUGGUAGCACAAAGGCCUCCGUGCUACCGAUAGUAUAAUAGCCUAGCUAUAUAUAUAUAUAUAUAUAUAUAUAGAGGCUAGGGCUACUAUCCUAUUAAUAGGAUAGUAGCACUUGUCCUAUCAAAUGGUUUUUUAUGAUAGAGAUUCCGAAUUGAUUAUCAGAGCCGUUGAAGUUGAUCUAGAGUAUUUGAAAUAUCUAGAAACUAAAUUUCAUAAAUUUUAAAAAUUAUUUACAUGGUGAUCAAAGUGUCGUAAAAUCGACAAUUUUUGACGGCCUAUAUGAGCCGUUUGCUUGUUUAACGGUGUAGAGCAAUCCAAAUUGCUUAAAUUUUUGAUAGAAAAUUCUUUAUACUAUUUAGAUAAGCUUUAAUAACUCUGAUUAUGAAUUAAGAAAGUCUAACCUCUAUUUUAAGAAGAUUAUUCAUUUAUGACCGUUCAUUUUUUAACUCUAAAGAUGAACUUGAUAAUGAUUUUUAAAUAUUACAAAAUUUGGUUUCUAAACAUUUCUAAUUGUGUAGAUCAAUUU